rnacentral:rRNA from 1 species
UAGGGAAUAUUGGGGAAUGGGCGAAAGCCUGACCCAGCAACGCCGCGUGCGCGAAGAAGGCCUUCGGGUUGUAAAGCGCUUUUCUCAGGGAUGAGGAAGGACAGUACCUGAGGAAUAAGUCUCGGCUAACUACGUGCCAGCAGCCGCGGUAACACGUAGGAGACGAGCGUUAUCCGGAUUUACUGGGUGUAAAGCGCGUGUAGGCGGCGAGGUAAGUUGGAUGUGAAAGCUCCCGGCUUAACUGGGAGAGGUCGUUCAAGACUGCCUGGAUAGAGUGCAGCAGAGGGGAGUGGAAUUCCGAGUGUAGCGGUAAAAUGCAUAGAUAUUCGGAAGAACACCAGUGGCGAAGGCGGCUCUCUGGGCUGCAACUGACGCUCAGACGCGAAAGCUAGGGGAGCGAACGG